AUAUAGUGAGUGGGGCAUCCGUGUACUAUGGACACAUUCUUGUUUUUUUAUUAAUAAGUAGGGAAUAAUGCAAUAUGAUAUCAAUUGUCAUGAAUAUGAUUGGCUUCCAGUAGAUUGUGAUAUUUGUGGCCUAGUUUCACUUAAAAAUCAAACACAUUUGAAAUUUCAUAUAUGUUCAUUACAAAAUUUUAAACUUAACACUUGGAUAUAAUAUUUCAGUUUGGGUUUAAACUAUUCUCAUGAUCAUUUUACAUAAAUAAUAGAAACAAAAGAUCACAGUAUAUUAUUCCAGAUGAGAGAACUUCUAAAAUUUUUGAAUGUUUCAUAUCGCAGGUGUUCUCUCUUUUUAAAGCAGUUUUAAUCAAAGUGAUCUAUGUUGUACAUUUCAACAUAAAGUUACUGGGAAAAAAACACACCACAAGACUUUUUUUUCCAAAAUCAAUAUCAAUUUGACAUUAAUAAAGAGAAAUUUGGAGCUCUAUUUUUAAAUUCGUUUAACAUGUUUACCACACUAAAGGGAAUAAAUCAAACUAUCUAAAAACUUCUUCAGUUUUCAGCAAUGCAAAAAUGAUGUGAAAUGAUAUCAAUUACGGUAAAUUAAUUUGUAACUGCAGUCUUAUAAUUUGAUAAUGUUUUGAAAGACAGUCGAACAUUAUUAA
rnacentral:lncRNA from 1 species